CUGGCUCAGGAUGAACGCUAGCGACAGGCUUAACACAUGCAAGUCGAGGGGCAGCACAGGUAGCAAUACCGGGUGGCGACCGGCGCACGGGUGAGUAACGCGUAUGCAACUUGCCUAUCAGAGGGGGAUAACCCGGCGAAAGUCGGACUAAUACCGCAUGAAGCAGGGGUCCCGCAUGGGGAUAUUGCUAAAGAUUCAUCGCUGAUAGAUAGGCAUGCGUUCCAUUAGGCAGUUGGCGGGGUAACGGCCCACCAAACCGACGAUGGAUAGGGGUUCUGAGAGGAAGGUCCCCCACAUUGGUACUGAGACACGGACCAAACUCCUACGGGAGGCAGCAGUGAGGAAUAUUGGUCAAUGGGCGUAAGCCUGAACCAGCCAAGUCGCGUGAGGGAUGAAGGUUCUAUGGAUCGUAAACCUCUUUUAUAAGGGAAUAAAGUGUGGGACGUGUCCCGUUUUGUAUGUACCUUAUGAAUAAGGAUCGGCUAACUCCGUGCCAGCAGCCGCGGUAAUACGGAGGAUCCGAGCGUUAUCCGGAUUUAUUGGGUUUAAAGGGUGCGUAGGCGGCCUUUUAAGUCAGCGGUGAAAGUCUGUGGCUCAACCAUAGAAUUGCCGUUGAAACUGGGGGGCUUGAGUAUGUUUGAGGCAGGCGGAAUGCGUGGUGUAGCGGUGAAAUGCUUAGAUAUCACGCAGAACCCCGAUUGCGAAGGCAGCCUGCCAAGCCAUGACUGACGCUGAUGCACGAAAACGUGGGGAUCAAACAGGAUUAGAUACCCUGGUAGUCCACGCAGUAAACGAUGAUCACUAGCUGUUUGCGAUACAUGUAAGCGGCACAGCGAAAGCGUUAAGUGAUCCACCUGGGGAGUACGCCGGCAACGGUGAAACUCAAAGGAAUUGACGGGGGCCCGCACAAGCGGAGGAACAUGUGGUUUAAUUCGAUGAUACGCGAGGAACCUUACCCGGGUUUGAACGCAUUCGGACCGAGGUGGAAACACCUUUUCUAGCAAUAGCCGUUUGCGAGGUGCUGCAUGGUUGUCGUCAGCUCGUGCCGUGAGGUGUCGGCUUAAGUGCCAUAACGAGCGCAACCCUUGCCACUAGUUACUAACAGGUAAAGCUGAGGACUCUGGUGGGACUGCCAGCGUAAGCUGCGAGGAAGGCGGGGAUGACGUCAAAUCAGCACGGCCCUUACAUCCGGGGCGACACACGUGUUACAAUGGCGUGGACAAAGGGAAGCCACCUGGCGACAGGGAGCGAAUCCCCAAACCACGUCUCAGUUCGGAUCGGAGUCUGCAACCCGACUCCGUGAAGCUGGAUUCGCUAGUAAUCGCGCAUCAGCCAUGGCGCGGUGAAUACGUUCCCGGGCCUUGUACACACCGCCCGUCAAGCCAUGGGAGCCGGGGGUACCUGAAGUCCGUAACCGCGAGGAUCGGCCUAGGGUAAAACUGGUGACUGGGGCUAAGUCGUAACAAGGUAGCCGUA
rnacentral:rRNA from 1 species